AUACACAAGACAGUGCGCACGGACGGUCGCGAUUAAGUGUGCAUACUUGAGGCCCCUUGCGAUUUCCUCUUUUAAGCACCCGCUCUCUCUAAUUUUCCUCUGGAACCCUAACCCUAAAUGAUCAAACCCUACAAAUGCACUCCACUUUAGCAUUCUUCAACGAAAUGUGUGUUAAAUGUGCAUAGAGCAUCCUCGUUAGAUUGUUCUACGAUUGGAGGGGCAGCCUGGCUAGAUAUAGACCUCUGAGCUGUGAAGUUUCUCUGUGAAAGCGACAAUGUGCGGAGCUGUAAGUACCGCUGAAAUUAUGAUAGGCAGUAUCAGUUGAGGAUCUCAAGGAGCCCUUACUAAAAAUUUGUUUUGACAAGUCUUGGAAUGACCACUAAGCACUUCGUAAGUAAUGACUUCUUAAAUAUCCCUUUUGUUUUCUGAUGUUUUUUAUAUUUUGAUUUUUCUUAGAACAUAUACCCUUGGAAUAACAACUGAAAUUUGUAAUACAAAUGCUGAUCGCAAACUCAAAAGAAAGCCUUACAUAACUUAAAACCACACUUUUUAGAUCUGAUUCGAAAUCAAUACGACUGCAUCAACAACAUUGAAUUGCAAGAUGGGAAAAAUGAUGAUAAUGCUGAUAUGCAAGCUGGAAAAGCAAAUUUUUAGAAUUUCCACUUUCCCAAAUCAAUUUACAAGUGAACAAAAAUGGAUGUUGUGCACAAAUGAUUUACUUGUACUCUCAAGGUCAGGCAUAACAUUAUUAAUGCCCAAAACGAUAUUAUGUUAAAUGGAACAGCAUCUAAUGAUUCGGGACCAGCACCUUAUAGCACUUGUAACUUUUUGAUGACUGUUACGUUACAACAUCUUAUUCGACCAAUAUAACAACACCUUAUACGACUGUGGUAUUGUUGGUGGCCUGAAAUGGUUUAAACCAGCAGCUGUAUGAGUGAUCGCAAGGUUGGGAUUGACUGAUUUUACACCAAAAAGGAUUGACUGAUUUUAUACCAAAAGUAGUGCUCCGCUAGGGUUUACUGGUAAUGCCAUAAGAAUUUGUAUUCACAGCACUUUUUGAUGUACAAUAGCCCUCCAAUGUCCUGAAAACUAUGGUAGAAACUUUAAAAUACAAAGGGCAAAGCUGUAGCAGCAACACAUAAUCCCCCAAAUGCAAAGAAUGAGAUCUUCGACAAAUCACUGUAGUGACAUUGUAACAGCAAUAUGCAAACUUAGAAAAUGUUAAUACAUUUGUGAUCCUUGGAUAUAAUCACUCAAAAAAAAAAACAAGGGUUUUCAUACAUAAUCUCGAAUGUAGAAUUCAAGAGUUCUUGUCCUUGGAUGCCAACAUUUUAAUGUCAAUUUUCACAAUCAAGAAGCCAAUGAUGCUAAGCACCCUGUUUUAAUAUUUUUCUGAUUUGGAUCUUUGACUAAAUUUCCUUCUAAUUAGUAUUUAAAAAUGUUUUUAUUUUGAUGAAUUAAAAGCAUUUUUUUAAUUUUAAUAAUAUUAUUUAAUUUUCUCCUUAAAUUUAAAUUAAAAAUUGCUAGAUUCAAUUUAAAAUAAUAUUAAAACUUAUUUUGGCCUCUAGCCUACAAGAAAUGGAAAUAGGCUGAGAGGUAUUUUCCACAAGGACAUGACAAUUUCCAUUUCGUAGUUGCUAGUCCAUGAUAUUCCUAUAAUGGGUAUACCGUAAGAGUCCAAAACAACAUAUAUAAUCCAUGAUAUUCCUAUAAUGGGUAUCAUAAGAGUCCAAAACAACAGAUAUGAUCCAUGAUAUUCCUAUAAUGGUACCAGGAGAGUCCAAAACAACAGAUACAGUUGUUUUGAAUGUACAAAACACAACUUCUGUUAUUAAAGUUUUCUGGACUAUUGAACACAUCUUCUGUUAUUAAAGUUCUCUGGACUAUUGGACGUUUUUCUGUUUUAUCAAUAAUCUUGUAUUAGGUUUCAAACUCUUUAAUUUUAGCUACAAUAUUUUGUAUUUAGGGUUUUCUUGCCUAAAUGCCCGCAAGCACUCAUGCCUCACCUAUAAACUUCUGAUAUUUAAAGUUAUCUUGAUUUUGGAUUAAUAAACUAUCUUCUGAUUUAGCUACGAUAUAUUGUAUUUAGGUUUUAAGUUUUAUUAAUUUCAACUAUAUGAUGUUUUCCAUGUAAUAUUCUUCAUAUCUUAUUCUCUUAUUUCUCACUUACAUUGACUUCAUGAUAAAUAUGUUAUUUAACCUUAUUCUCUCAGUUCUCAGGUACAUUGACUUCAUAAUAAAUAUGUUAUUUGUUCUCCAUUUCUGCGUCUAAUUUUUAACUAUUUCUACCUUCAUAGUCAUAAAUAUCAUCUUCUUAUUUGAUUUGAUAUAGGUUUGGUUUAGUUUUGUUGCUAAUUUGUACUCUUGGGAGCAAGAAUUUUGCUAAAUUUGCUCUAGUGCUAAUUGACAUCUUGAAUACGGCCUAAUCUAGUGCUCCCCUUGCUUCUUCUCACUUCAAAACUUCCACCAUCAAUUGGUAGUGUAUUAUAUCAAGUUGGAGACCUCAUAUUAUCUUAGAAAGUGCUGGCUCAGCAACGAAUCUGCCAUCUAUUGUGGAGAACAAUCUCUUCUGUAGCAAAUGCUUGCCACCUGCAGCAGAUGUUCCAAUACUGUGGCAAACCCGCGAUACCACGACAAUCUCCCAAAUAGUGAGACAAUCUUGCAAUUAUCCUGACGAUUUUGCAAAUGCAGUGGUGAUUUAAUACUGGCAGAUCUGGCAAAUUCACUAUUGAGCAGGCAGAAAUGGAGUAUGAAGAGGUUUUGUAGUUUGAUGUCUAUUUUAUUGAUUGGUUUCUCAUUUGUUGAUGGUGAGACUAAAGGGAGGUUGUUGUGAGUGGUAUUGCAGGUGCUGGUGGAGUAACCGGGUCGAUGUUGGAGUUCAUUGAUUACUAUUAUCUGUUUCUGAUGGUAGUGAGUGAGGAUUAUGCUCCUUGUUUAUGGAUGCUUGACUCUCUGUAUCUGAAGCAUGUGCUUACCUUUCCUGUUUAGUAAAUGAUUCUAUUAAUUGCUCCAUAGUUUCUGCAAAACCUAUUUGAGCUACAUAUUCUAAUAGCAAGAUUUGAAAUGGUACGUAGUGCAACGAGGCAUUUUUGUUUUUUCCUUUGGUUGAUUGACAACCAUUUGAGAUGGUUUGCAGUACGUAUGGAAGGUUUGUUGAGGUCAUUGUCUUAUUUAUAGGUCUCUGAGCUCCUUGCUUACAGAUCAUUGACUCUUUUAGGAUCUGAAGCAUGUGUUUCUCUAUUCUGUUUUGCAACUGAUUCUAUUAACUGCUCCAUAGUUGGUGCAAAACCUAUUUGAGCUCUAUAUUCCCAUACGAUUUAAGAUUGUUGUGUAGUGUGUAUGGAGGGUUUGUUGAGUUCAUUUUGGCGAUAAAUUCAUUUAGAGUGUGCAUUUAA